AGUGAACGCUGGCGGUAGGUCUAACACAUGCAAGUCGAACGGCAGCACAGUAAGAGCUUGCUCUUACGGGUGGCGAGUGGCGGACGGGUGAGGAAUACAUCGGAAUCUACUUUUUCGUGGGGGAUAACGUAGGGAAACUUACGCUAAUACCGCAUACGACCUACGGGUGAAAGCAGGGGAUCUUCGGACCUUGCGCGAUUGAAUGAGCCGAUGUCGGAUUAGCUAGUUGGCGGGGUAAAGGCCCACCAAGGCGACGAUCCGCAGCUGGUCUGAGAGGAUGAUCAGCCACACUGGAACUGAGACACGGUCCAGACUCCUACGGGAGGCAGCAGUGGGGAAUAUUGGACAAUGGGCGCAAGCCUGAUCCAGCCAUACCGCGUGGGUGAAGAAGGCCUUCGGGUUGUAAAGCCCUUUUGUUGGGAAAGAAAAGCAGCAGGUUAAUACCCCGCUGUUCUGACGGUACCCAAAGAAUAGGCACCGGCUAACUUCGUG
rnacentral:rRNA from 1 species